CCUGAGAAACCCAAAAGAUCGAAUGGGGAGAUUCAUCGUCAGCUUAUCCAGUAUAUGCGCAAGUUGUGAUAUAAAUUUUUCGGAAUUUUUACAUGCUUGUGUUAUUUAAUUGCUGGAUAUUUGUCGGCGUGCACUUCUCCCCUAGUAGGACGUCGCGACCCGUUGGAUGUCAAUCUAUGUCCUAAAUGGUAGCCUUUAGUAAUAUUUUUAUUAAUAUUAUUGAAGACCAUUGGUGUACUGACUGACUGUUCGACGGUAUGCGCAUGGUAUUGAGCCGCAUAAUAUAUGCGUCGAACUUGUAACAAGCCGAAUUAGUGUCUAACCUCGCAGUAUGGACUUUGUUCCAUCGUGAGGCCUGAUUUGCUGUUAGUUUACAAUGUUCUUCGACUGGCUCGAAAAAAAAUAUACCGGUCGGCGACGCUACUGCUUUGGGUACUUUCAGG
rnacentral:rRNA from 1 species